AUUGAACGCUGGCGGCAGGCCUAACACAUGCAAGUCGAACGGUAACAGGAAGCAGCUUGCUGCUUUGCUGACGAGUGGCGGACGGGUGAGUAAUGUCUGGGAAACUGCCUGAUGGAGGGGGAUAACUACUGGAAACGGUAGCUAAUACCGCAUAACGUCGCAAGACCAAAGGGGGGGACCUUCGGGCCUCUUGCCAUCGGAUGUGCCCAGAUGGGAUUAGCUAGUAGGUGGGGUAACGGCUCACCUAGGCGACGAUCCCUAGCUGGUCUGAGAGGAUGACCGGCAACCGGGGAACUGAGACACGGCCCAGACUCCUCGGGGAGGAAGCGGGGGGGAAUUUUGAACAAGGGCGGCAAGCUGGAUGCAGCCAGGCGGCGUGUAGAAAGAGGGCCUUGGGGUUGAAAAGUCCUUCCAGGGGGGGGAAGGGGAGAAAAGUUAAUCCUUUUCUUAAUGGCGGUUCCCCGAAAAAGAAGCCCGGGCAACCCCGGUG
rnacentral:rRNA from 1 species